rnacentral:rRNA from 1 species
GGAAUAUUGGUCAAUGGACGAGAGUCUGAACCAGCCAAGUAGCGUGCAGGAUGACGGCCCUAUGGGUUGUAAACUGCUUUUAUACAGGGAUAAAGUGACGUACGUGUACGUUUUUGUAGGUACUGUAUGAAUAAGGACCGGCUAAUUCCGUGCCAGCAGCCGCGGUAAUACGGAAGGUCCGGGCGUUAUCCGGAUUUAUUGGGUUUAAAGGGAGCGCAGGCUGAUUAUUAAGCGUGACGUGAAAUGUAGCCGCUCAACGGCUGCACUGCGUCGCGAACUGGCAGUCUUGAGUGAGUACGACGUCAGAGGAAUUCGUGGUGUAGCGGUGAAAUGCUUAGAUAUCACGAAGAACCCCGAUUGCGAAGGCAGCUGACGAGUCCUUUACUGACGCUAAAGCUCGAAGGUGCGGGUAUCGAACA